rnacentral:rRNA from 1 species
AUGGCAUCUCCGCUCCUCUUGCCUGUGCUGUUCCUGCCACUAUUGUUCCCCUCAUCCACCCAAGCUCAGAGAAACAUCACCCUGGGAUCCACUUUGACCCAGGGUCCAACCUUGUCAUUGCUCUCACCAUCUGGCGACUUUGCUUUCGGCUUCCGACCCAUUGAGGGCAAUGCCUCCUUCUACCUCCUCGCCAUCUGGUUCAACAAGAUCAGCGACAAGACGGUCGCUUGGUAUGCCAAGACUGAAGGAACAGUGCAGGUAUCGUCUACCUCUAUCCUCCAACUCACCACAGAUGGAGCAGUCUCGCUUCGUGACCCCUCCAGUGUGGAGGUCUGGAAUCCCCAGGUAACCGGUGUGGCCUCCGCCAGCAUGCGCAAUAGUGGUAACUCUGUGCUCGCUGGUGCGGACGGCAACACAAAAUGGCAGACUUUUGAUGUGCCAUCAGACACCAUCCUGCCUACCCAGGUGCUGCCUUCUAACCAGACUCUCCGUGCUCGACUUGACACCACUGACUAUUCCAAUGGUCGGUUUCUCCUGGAUGUGCAAAGCGAUGGAAACCUUCCCUUCUAUCUCGUUGCUGAGCCCUCCGGCUUCAAGCAUGGUUCUUAUUGGUCCACCGAGACAGCCGGGAAUGGCUCACAACUGGUGUUCAAUGAAACUAGCAGAGUAUACUUCCUCCUAACAAAUGGUACUCAGAUCAACAUCACAUAUGGUGCACUAGGGUCUAUGGCAGACUACUACCACCGUGCUACACUUGACUCGGAUGGUGUUUUCCGGCAAUAUGUAUACCCAAAAAAUCCAAAGUCCAGCAUCUUUAGUGGUGAGGUGUGGAGUGCAGUGAGCUUACUUCCCCAAAAUAUCUGCCAUGCAGUAGUUAUAGCUGUUGGCAGUGGCGUAUGUGGGUUCAAUAGUUACUGCACCUUCGAUGGCACCAAGAACCAGAUAGUAAGUUGUGCCUGCCCACCGCAGUACAAGUUCUUUGAUGAGGAGAGGAAGUACAAAGGAUGCAAACAAGAUUUUCAGCCGCAAAGCUGUGACUUGGAUGAGGCCGCAGCAUUGGCACACUAUGAGCUGCCAAAUUCUGGUGUGGAUUGGCCACUAUCGGAUUACGAGCAGUAUCAGCUCAUAGCAGAGGAUGACUGUGGGAGGCUGUGUCGGAUCGACUGUUUCUGUGCCUUGGCCGUAUAGAAUGAAAGCACAGGCACAUGUUGGAAAAAGAAGCUCCCUUUGUCUAAUGGGAAUAUGGCCGACUAUGUCCAGAGAACAGUGUUUCUCAAGGUGCCAAGUAGCAACAAUUCACAGUCUGCACUCAGUACUGCCUCCAAAAAAUGGAAGCAAGACAAAAAGUAUUGGAUCCUUGGGAGUUCCUUGUUUCUUGGUUGUUCCAUAUUGGUGAACUUUCUCCUCAUCUCUAUUCUGGUGUUUGGUACUUACUGUCAUAUCACCCGAAAGAAGAAUGGUCCGAUGUCCCAAACCUCAAGUACAACUCAGUUUCCCCUGAAGACCUUCACUUACAAAGAGCUGGAGAGAGCAAGCAGUGGUUUCAAUGAGGUCCAUGGUAGUGGUGCCUAUGGUGUUGUGUACAAGGGUGAGUUGCAAGAUGAGCUCCGGACCCACAUCGUUGUCAAGAAGAUCGACAAGCUGCAAGAAGAAACUGAAAAGGAGUUCACGGUGGAAGUCCAAACCAUUGGACAAACAUUCCACAAGAAUCUGGUCCGGCUGCUUUGUUUCUGCAGUGAAGGAACUGAAAGACUGCUAGUUUAUGAGUUCAUGACCAAUGGCUCACUCAACCGGCUUCUCUUUGCCGACGUACGGUCAAAUUGGAACACACGGGUUCAUAUCGCACUUGGGGUGGCAAGAGGGUUGCUCUACUUGCAUGAAGAGUGUAGCACACAAAUCAUCCAUGACAUGAAGCCACAUACAAUUCUUCUUGACGACAACCUUGUUGCAAAGAUUUCAGACUUUGGCCUAGCGAAGCUUCUCUUGAGAAAUCAGACAAGGACAAACACUGGUAUUAGAGGUACUCGAGGAUAUGUCGCCCCUGAGUGGUUCAAGAACAUCGGGAUCACUGCCAAGGUCGAUGUCUACAGCUUUGGAGUGAUCCUACUGGAGCUUGUCUGCUGCAGAAGAAAUGUUGAUUUGGAGGUAGUUGAUGAGGAGCAGACCAUACUGACUUACUGGGCAAAUGACUGUUAUAGGUGUCGGAGGCUCGACCUGCUGGUGGAGGGUGACGAUGACGCGAUCUUCAACAUUAAGAAGGUGGAAAGAUUUCUAUCAGUAGCACUAUGGUGCCUCCAGGAGGACCCGACCAUGCGACCCAACACGCUGAAGGUGACACAAAUGCUAGAUGGAGCGGUUGCAAUCCCCAUUCCUCCAGAUCCUUUCUCAUUCAUCAGUUCGCUUCCAUAA